GUAGAACCUUACCAAGGCUUGACAUCCUGCGAAGGUCGCCGAAAGGUGACCGUGCUUUAUUGAACGCAGUGACAGGUGUUGCAUGGCCGUCGUCAGCUCGUGUCGUGAGAUGUAUGGUUAAGUCCAUUAACGAGCGCAACCCUUUUAGCUAGUUGAAUUUCUCUAGCUAGACUGCCCUGGUAACAGGGAGGAAGGAGGGGAUGACGUCAGGUCCGUAUUACCCUUAUGUCUUGGGCUACAAACACACUACAAUGGCCGGUACAGAGGGCAGCUAAGCCGCGAGGCGGAGCAAAUCCCAUCAAAGCCGGUCCCAGUUCGGAUUGCAGGCUGAAACCCGCCUGCAUGAAGCCGGAAUCGCUAGUAACGGUAAGUCAGCAUAUUACCGUGAAUACGUUCCCGAGACUUGUACACACCGCCCGUCAAACCAUGAAAGUCGCCAAUACCCGAAGUUCCGCCUUAGGCGGACCUAAGGUAGGGGAGAUGAUUGGGGUUAAGUCGUAACAAGGUAUCCGUACCGGAAGGUGCGGAUGGAUUACCUCCUUU
rnacentral:rRNA from 1 species